rfam:Alkaliphilus oremlandii OhILAs, complete genome.
UUUUCGGCGACGAGAGGGUCUGAAGGAAACCGAUGGCGGUUGCUGGAACGGAGCGAAAGUAAACCAGUGUUGGCAUGUGUAGCGGAUAACCUUGCAAAAAGUAGGAACGUCCUAAUAUUAGCUUAGCUACAUGUGUUUGGAUGGUCGUUUUAGUAACAGGCGGAGCAAC